CCGGGGUGUCACUUAUGGUUCACUUAUGGGUCCGUGGCGUCACUUAUGGGUCACUUAUGGGUCUGUGGCGUCACUUAUGGGUCACUUGUGGGUCCAGGGUGUCACUUAUGGAUCACUAUGGGGUCUGGGGCGUCACUUAUGGGUCACUUGUGGGUCCGGGGUGUCACUUAUGGUUCACUUAUGGGUCCGUGGCGUCACUUAUGGGUCACUUAUGGGU
rnacentral:lncRNA from 1 species